AAUAUUGCACAAUGGGCGCAAGCCUGAUGCAGCCAUGCCGCGUGUAUGAAGAAGGCCUUCGGGUUGUAAAGUACUUUCAGCAGUGAGGAAGGUGGGUAUGUUAAUAGCAUAUUCAUUUGACGUUUAGCUGCAGAAGAAGCACCGGCUAACUCCGUGCCAGCAGCCGCGGUAAUACGGAGGGUGCGAGCGUUAAUCGGAAUUACUGGGCGUAAAGCGCAUGCAGGUGGUUUGUUAAGUCAGAUGUGAAAGCCCGGGGCUCAACCUCGGAAUUGCAUUUGAAAACUGGCAAACUAGAGUACUGUAGAGGGGGUAGAAUUUCAGGUGUAGCGGUGAAAUGCGUAGAGAUCUGAAGGAAUACCGGUGGCGAAGGCGGCCCCCUGGACAGAUACUGACACUCAGAUGCGAAAGCGUGGGGAGCAAACAGGAUUAGAUACCCUGGUAG
rnacentral:rRNA from 1 species